rnacentral:rRNA from 1 species
AGGGUUCGAUUAUGGCUCAGAACGAACGCUGGCGGCAGGCCUAAUACAUGCAAGUCGAGCGCACCUUCGGGUGAGCGGCGGACGGGUUAGUAACGCGUGGGAAUAUGCCCAAAGGUACGGAAUAGCCUCUGGAAACGGAGAGUAAUACCGUAUGUGCCCUUCGGGGGAAAGAUUUAUCGCCUUUGGAUUAGCCCGCGUUGGAUUAGGUAGUUGGUGGGGUAAUGGCCUACCAAGCCUACGAUCCAUAGCUGGUUUGAGAGGAUGAUCAGCAACACUGGGACUGAGACACGGCCCAGACUCCUACGGGAGGCAGCAGUAGGGAAUCUUAGACAAUGGGCGAAAGCCUGAUCUAGCCAUGCCGCGUGAGUGAAGAAGGCCCUAGGGUCGUAAAGCUCUUUCGCCAGGGAUGAUAAUGACAGUACCUGGUAAAGAAACCCCGGCUAACUCCGUGCCAGCAGCCGCGGUAAUACGGAGGGGGUUAGCGUUGUUCGGAAUUACUGGGGCGUAAAGCGUACGUAGGCGGAUUAGUCAGUCAGAGGUGAAAUCCCAGGGCUCAACCCUGGAACUGCCUUUGAUACUGCUAGUCUUGAGUUCGAGAGAGGUGAGUGGAAUUCCAAGUGUAGAGGUGAAAUUCGUAGA